rnacentral:rRNA from 1 species
CACGUAGGGGGCAAGCGUUGUCCGGAUUUAUUGGGCGUAAAGAGCUCGUAGGCGGUUCGGUAAGUCGGGUGUUAAAACUCAGGGCUCAACCCAGAGACUUCACCCGAUACUGCUGUGACUAGAGUCCGGUAGAGGAGUGUGGAAUUCCUGGUGUAGCGGUGAAAUGCGCAGAUAUCAGGAGGAACACCAGCGGCGAAGGCGGCACUCUGGGCCGGUACUGACGCUGAGGAGCGAAAGCGUGGGUAGCAAACAGG